rnacentral:pre_miRNA from 1 species
UAUUUACUUCCUCCGUUCGGAAUUACUUGUCACAAAAAUGGAUGUAUCUACAACUAAAAUACAUCUAGAUACAUUCAUUUCUUGGACGAGUAAUUCCAAACGGAGGGAGUAGUUA